rnacentral:rRNA from 1 species
AGUGAACGCUGGCGGUAGGCCUAACACAUGCAAGUCGAACGGCAGCACAGUAAGAGCUUGCUCUUACGGGUGGCGAGUGGCGGACGGGUGAGGAAUACAUCGGAAUCUACUUUUUCGUGGGGGAUAACGUAGGGAAACUUACGCUAAUACCGCAUACGACCUACGGGUGAAAGCAGGGGAUCUUCGGACCUUGCGCGAUUGAAUGAGCCGAUGUCGGAUUAGCUAGUUGGCGGGGUAAAGGCCCACCAAGGCGACGCUCCGUAGCUGGUCUGAGAGGAUGAUCGCCACAACGGGAAAUAGGCACCGGCCCAAACCCCUCGGGGGGGCAGCAGGGGGAAAUUUUGGAAAAGGGGCGCAAGCCUGAUCCAGCCAAACCGCGGGGGGGAAGAAGGCCUUCGGGUUGUAAACCCCUUUUGUUGGGAAAAAAAAGCAGCAGGUUAAUACCCCGCUGUUCUGACGGUACCAAAAAAAUAAGCACCGGCUAACUUCGU